GACGAACGCUGGCGGCGUGCUUAACACAUGCAAGUCGAACGGAAAGGCCCUGCUUGCAGGGUACUCGAGUGGCGAACGGGUGAGUAACACGUGGGUGAUCUGCCCUGCACUUCGGGAUAAGCCUGGGAAACUGGGUCUAAUACCGGAUAGGACCAUCGUUUAGUGUCGGUGGUGGAAAGUUUUUCGGUGCAGGAUGAGCUCGCGGCCUAUCAGCUUGUUGGUGGGGUAAUGGCCUACCAAGGCGUCGACGGGUAGCCGGCCUGAGAGGGUGGACGGCCACAUUGGGACUGAGACACGGCCCAGACUCCUACGGGAGGCAGCAGUGGGGAAUAUUGCACAAUGGGCGCAAGCCUGAUGCAGCGACGCCGCGUGGGGGAUGAAGGCCUUCGGGUUGUAAACUCCUUUCAACCAUGACGAAGCAUUAUGUGACGGUAGUGGUAGAAGAAGCACCGGCUAACUACGUG
rnacentral:rRNA from 1 species